rnacentral:rRNA from 1 species
UACGGGGGGAGCAAGCGUUGUUCGGAUUUACUGGGCGUAAAGGGCGCGUAGGCGGUCAGCACAAGUCAGUUGUGAAAUCUCCGGGCUUAACUCGGAAAGGUCAACUGAUACUGUGCGACUAGAGUGCAGAAGGGGCAACUGGAAUUCUCGGUGUAGCGGUGAAAUGCGUAGAUAUCGAGAGGAACACCUGCGGCGAAGGCGGGUUGCUGGGCUGACACUGACGCUGAUGCGCGAAAGCGUGGGGAGCGAGCCGG